UGACAUUUCGGGUCAGGAUCCUUCUUCAGACUGAUUGUAUUAGGGGGAAGAAAACUAGUAGAGAGGUGGGGACAGG